AACAUCGCGCACCUGCGGGAACCUGCGGAAGGAUCAUUACAAGUGACCCCGGUCUAACCACCGGGAUGUUCAUAACCCUUUGUUGUCCGACUCUGUUGCCUCCGGGGCGACCCUGCCUUCGGGCGGGGGCUCCGGGUGGACACUUCAAACUCUUGCGUAACUUUGCAGUCUGAGUAAACUUAAUUAAUAAAUUAAAACUUUCAACAAUGGAUCU
rnacentral:misc_RNA from 1 species